AUACGGAGGAUACGAGCGUUAUCCGGAUUUAUUGGGUUUAAAGGGAGCGUAGGUGGGAUAUUAAGUCAGCUGUGAAAGUUUGGGGCUCAACCUUAAAAUUGCAGUUGAUACUGGUUUCCUUGAGUACGGUACAGGUGGGCGGAAUUCGUGGUGUAGCGGUGAAAUGCUUAGAUAUCACGAAGAACUCCGAUCGCGAAGGCAGCUCACCGGGCCGGAACUGACACUGAUGCUCGAAAGUGCGGGUAUCAAACAGGAUUAGAUACCCUGGUAGUCCGCACAGUAAACGAUGAAUACUCGCUGUUUGCGAUACACGGUAAGCGGCCAAGCGAAAGCGUUAAGUAUUCCACCUGGGGAGUACGCCGGCAACGGUGAAACUCAAAUGAAUUGGCGGGG
rnacentral:rRNA from 1 species